rnacentral:rRNA from 1 species
AGAGGAGCUUGCUCUUCUUGGAUGAGUUGCGAACGGGUGAGUAACGCGUAGGUAACCUGCCUUGUAGCGGGGGAUAACUAUUGGAAACGAUAGCUAAUACCGCAUAACAAUGGAUGACACAUGUCAUUUAUUUGAAAGGGGCAAUUGCUCCACUACAAGAUGGACCUGCGUUGUAUUAGCUAGUAGGUGAGGUAAUGGCUCACCUAGGCGACGAUACAUAGCCGACCUGAGAGGGUGAUCGGCCACACUGGGACUGAGACACGGCCCAGACUCCUACGGGAGGCAGCAGUAGGGAAUCUUCGGCAAUGGGGGCAACCCUGACCGAGCAACGCCGCGUGAGUGAAGAAGGUUUUCGGAUCGUAAAGCUCUGUUGUAAGUCAAGAACGGGUGUGAGAGUGGAAAGUUCACACUGUGACGGUAGCUUACCAGAAAGGGACGGCUAACUACGUGCCAGCAGCCGCGGUAAUACGUAGGUCCCGAGCGUUGUCCGGAUUUAUUGGGCGUAAAGCGAGCGCAGGCGGUUUGAUAAGUCUGAAGUUAAAGGCUGUGGCUCAACCAUAGUUCGCUUUGGAAACUGUCAAACUUGAGUGCAGAAGGGGAGAGUGGAAUUCCAUGUGUAGCGGUGAAAUGCGUAGAUAUAUGGAGGAACACCGGUGGCGAAAGCGGCUCUCUGGUCUGUAACUGACGCUGAGGCUCGAAAGCGUGGGGAGCGAACAGGAUUAGAUACCCUGGUAGUCCACGCCGUAAACGAUGAGUGCUAGGUGUUGGAUCCUUUCCGGGAUUCAGUGCCGCAGCUAACGCAUUAAGCACUCCGCCUGGGGAGUACGACCGCAAGGUUGAAACUCAAAGGAAUUGACGGGGGCCCGCACAAGCGGUGGAGCAUGUGGUUUAAUUCGAAGCAACGCGAAGAACCUUACCAGGUCUUGACAUCCCGAUGCUAUUUCUAGAGAUAGAAAGUUACUUCGGUACAUCGGUGACAGGUGGUGCAUGGUUGUCGUCAGCUCGUGUCGUGAGAUGUUGGGUUAAGUCCCGCAACGAGCGCAACCCCUAUUGUUAGUUGCCAUCAUUCAGUUGGGCACUCUAGCGAGACUGCCGGUAAUAAACCGGAGGAAGGUGGGGAUGACGUCAAAUCAUCAUGCCCCUUAUGACCUGGGCUACACACGUGCUACAAUGGUUGGUACAACGAGUUGCGAGUCGGUGACGGCGAGCUAAUCUCUUAAAGCCAAUCUCAGUUCGGAUUGUAGGCUGCAACUCGCCUACAUGAAGUCGGAAUCGCUAGUAAUCGCGGAUCAGCACGCCGCGGUGAAUACGUUCCCGGGCCUUGUACACACCGCCCGUCACACCACGAGAGUUUGUAACACCCGAAGUCGGUGAGGUAACCUUUGG